rnacentral:rRNA from 1 species
UACGUAGGGGGCAAGCGUUGUCCGGAAUUACUGGGCGUAAAGGGCGCGUAGGCGGCCUGUUAAGUCGAACGUGAAAUCCCUGGGCUCAACCCAGGAACUGCGUCCGAUACUGGCAGGCUUGAAUCCGGGAGAGGGAUGUGGAAUUCCAGGUGUAGCGGUGAAAUGCGUAGAUAUCUGGAGGAACACCGGUGGCGAAGGCGGCAUCCUGGACCGGUAUUGACGCUGAGGCGCGAAAGCCAGGGGAGCAAACGGG